rnacentral:rRNA from 1 species
AAUCAACGCUGGCGGCGCGCUUAACACAUGCAAGUCGAACGAGAAAGCCCGAGCAAUCGGGUGAGUACAGUGGCGUACGGGUGAGUAACACGUGGAUGAUCUACCUCUUAGUGGGGAAUAACUCUGGGAAACCGGAGCUAAUACCGCAUAAGCCUGGAAAGGGAAAGCGUCGUUUCAAAAAUAGACACGCUGAGAGAGGAGUCCGCGGCCGAUUAGCUAGUUGGCAGGGUAAAAGCCACCAAGGCAUUGAUCGGUAGCCGGCCUGAGAGGGCACACGGCCACACUGGCACUGAAACACGGGCCAGACUCCUACGGGAGGCAGCAGUGGGGAAUCUUGCACAAUGGGGGCAACCCUGAUGCAGCGACGCCGCGUGAGCGAUGAAGCCCUUCGGGGGUGUAAAGCUCUUUCGGCAGGAACGAUAAUGACGGUACCUGAAGAAGAAGCUGCGGCUAACUACGUGCUAGCCGCCGCAGUAAU